rnacentral:misc_RNA from 1 species
UUGGGAUCAGGUGAAGAGUGAAGUGUAAUCUUUCGCUGCUGGAGAUAAAGAGUAAAGAACCGAAUGAUAAGAUCCAUAGAUUUAUGGAUGAUAUAGGUGAAAAGACGAGAUUGGCUGGAUAUCAGCCCAACUAUGAUUUUGUUCUGCAGAAUGUAGACCAGCUAAAGAGAAGAAACUCUGUCGAUGGACCGGACAACCGCACGAUGACAAGAAGCAGGCCAUCUAUAGAGGCGACAGCUAUAGCAAUU